rnacentral:lncRNA from 1 species
GGAAAUUAGGCGAGUCAGUGGUUUUUUUCAGGAGAGAAGAAGCGUUGUGAGGAGUGGUGAGGAUGGUGACAUUUUGGGCGGCUGAGGAGAAGAGGUGGCCGAUUUCGGAGAGUGGGAUCAUGUGGCUGAAGGAGAGGAAGGGGAGCAUGUAAAUCUCCAGAGGACGAGAGGUGCUNGAUGAAUCAUACAAUUAAAGUUUGACAAAUAUGCCUCAGUAUAUUAUCAAGCAGUUAAUCAAACUUCAUUAUACAGGUCCUGUUCGAUUUUUCAGAAAGAAAUGAGAUAUGCAGUCAGAAAGAGGGUGUAACAAACUGGGGAAGAUACAAUGAGAUUUAAAAGAAAUUAUGAAUCGAUAUUGAAAUUAGAGUUACAUAGAUUAUGACUGUUGAUAGCAUGUUCCAUUGUACUUCUUUAAUACUAUCCCAGUUUGCUAGAUUUCUGUAUUAUAUGCGCUUCUCAUAAGGCACAUUACAAGAAUGUUUAAAGUUCCUCUCUAGUCUCCAUAUUUCGUGGAAGUUUGGAGCCUAUCUUUCUAAACACAGAGUUGAGUUGUUGAUACUUAUAGCUUUCAUAUAUUCUGCAGGAAGAUCUGUUCUAUCCGCACCCUUUCAUACAGGAUAUACUUUGGGAAGCUCUGGAUAAGUUCGUCGAACCUUUAUUAAUGUAUUGACCUAGAAAGAAGUUAAGAGAGAAAUCUCUUCGGAAUGUUAUGGAGCACAUACAUUAUGAGGAUGAAAUACUCGGUGUAUAUGUUUAAGGCCUGUUAAUAAGGUCAGUUUACAUUCCUUGAUAGUGUUAUUUCUCAUUGUUUGAAUAUAUAACCUCAUUCUCUACUCCUCAUAUCCCUAGUAUCCCAACAAUAUAAAUCCAUCUCUGUGUUUAACCUGAAGUAUAUCCCAAUCCCAAAAAUAAUGCAUCUCUCCGCAAUCAAGACAACUAAGAGCUACAAAAUACAAGCAGCCCGAGUACCUAGACCAUGCAGCUCUCAGUCUAUAUUUAACAAUCAAGUUACCAUAUCCUGCAAACAUUUUCUGAGCACACCCAAUAAUAACUUGUAAAUUCAAAUCUAUAUAUAUUGUCAUAAUAGAUGUUAGGUACCUUAAGCUGAGCACAUACAGUGAGUCCAAAGUACAUAUUACUGGAGAAAGGUACCUUUCCUAUGUAACUUAGGAGAAAGUUAAACUUCACUGCUUUUGAAAAAGUAUUCUCACCUAUCAGUUAUGUUGAGUUAGAGAAAUUUUAUUUCUAAAUUUGCGAUCUCUCCUAAUAAGUUACUAAGAUACUAAUUUGAAUUAGCACCCUAUUUAGAGUAGUUCUUAUCAUGCCAGCCUGUCUAGCAUUCAUCUCGGGGGGCCAACCAGCCGCAGGUAGUCCUUCUGUAGCCAUCAGAUCAGCCUUGGGCCAGACCGACAACUAAAUUUAAGUGAUAAAUCACAUACUUCAGGAUAUUAGUAAAACAAGCAUGCACUCACUAAGUCCCGUGGUAAAGAUGCUAGUGCUUAUAGAUGAUGACUAGCCGAGCUAAUUAACACUAUGAGGAAGAACAGAUAUUUCUGCAGCAGUCUGCACUCCAUCUGAGAUCUGUUAAUGCAUCUCAUUUAGUACGUAACAUCAUCCAGAACAAGAAUAGACAGUUAAUUGAUCAUGUAUUAUAAUAAUUAUUUGUAACCUGAAGAAACAGCUAAAACUUGUAUACCCUAUCUUAAAAGAUUCUUUGAUUAAAAGUAUGUUCAGACAAUGAGUGUGCGAUGAGAAAAGAAAACUGUCAAAUCUCCUUCCCGUACUCUUGAUUCGAAAUGUAUAUCGUAAUUACAGUGGUGUCUUUCUUGAUUGAAAAUUAGUCAUUAGAAUACCAGAAUAUUGUAUCAUGUUGUACCUCUAUUGGAUGGUAUUCUACUUAUCUUUUAUAUACUUCUGAUAAUGAGUCCAAUAGUAAAUUCUGGUGAUUACAGCCCGCCAGCAAGUCUGGAGAAGAAAAUUAUAGAAACCAGCACCUUUUGAGCUUUUCAUCUUUCAAAAGGAAAGCAGAGACUGAAUGAAACAGAGCAAGAAACAUAAAGAAGAUAUUGGAAUACAUACCUUUCUCCAACAAUAUUAACAUGAUUGUCUAGUAUCGUCUUGUUCACAAUUAAUUGCAAUCUAUUCCCCCCUUGUCUAUCAACUACAUGUUCAAAUUUACUUAAUUCUACCAGUAAAAGACUUUAAAGAUUCCCUUUUAAGUGAGGUAGUCAACCAGAACUGAAUAUGAUAUUAACUUUAAGUUGUAAGUUCAACUUUAGAAGAACACUGGCACCUUUGUAAUUAAGAUAUGUCACUCACAUUAUGGCUUUACAUACUCUUAUAUUCUGAUGUAUGCAUAAGCACCUCGUAUUCAUAUUCAGAGCUCUAUACUAAUUGCUGAUCGACUGAUAACAUUCCCAAAUGUCUAAUAUUCUCACAGAUCAUAAGAACUACUAAUGCAACAAAAAUAUAAUGAAAUACAAUCUGCUCACCAGCAAUAAACAAUGAAAAAGGACUCAAGACAUUAUAAUGGAUUUGGUUGGUUAAUUAAUAUCAGGCUUUUAUGUCCUCACCUGAUGACCAUCGAGACUCCUCGAUUCUUUAGCCAGUAAUAGAAUUUUGCUAGUUACCAGAUUACCAGGGCAGAGUUUCAGGCUUCAAAACACCAAAAUCUAACAUCUCUCCUCUCAAAAGAAGCCUGUAGAAGAGUGGCAAAUCAUCCUGAUUAAAAUACUAAAACAGGAUCCUUAUCAUCCUGGAAACAUAUCUAGCUUUAUAAUAUCAUAAAGAAAACUAAGACUAAGGAAAGAGAAUACUAUGCUGAACUCUCAAAAUUAAUUCCUUUUAAAAUUUACACGGUUUCCAUAAAUCCUUUUCAACAUAAUAGUUAUUUCGGUUGUGUAAAAUACCACAACGAAUAAAUUUUCAAUAGGUGCAUGCAGAACUUCCUCACAGUAAAACUACUUUAAUACCCACCUUUUAGGCAGAAAAGAACCCUCAUAUCAGGACUUUUCAUGUCUACAACGCUCCUUAUCUAUGUAUAAUUGUUCCUAAUGGAUCCAUUCAUGAAAGUUCUUCCUCUAUUUGCAGGGCAUGUUUGGCUAGAUCAUGUGCCGAAGAAUUAUCGCUGCGCCUUACAUGAGAAAUCGGUAUACCUGGGAAAUUUCCUAACAACAUUUUUAUAUCUGAUAGAAGGAUACCCAUUUCAUGCAGUAAAACUGAAGCUAAGUAACUUCCAAAAUAAUAUCUAAUGUCUAACCAAUAAAAUUACUCAGAAUAGCUUCAUCUUUUCGUCGUAACUCAAGGGAACGGUUGACUCCGUUGUUGUGCUACAUUCUUCCAAAUAUUUGCAGCCUCCUUGUUAAGCUCCAGGUCAUUAUGAUAAAAUGGUUAAUCAAUGAAAGUCAGAUAUAUUAACUUCAGUUCCAGUCUCAUUGCUUGUUAGUUUCUGUAUUUUUUUUUCUUUUCACCUUUCACAAUAAAAAUAAAAUUGCUAUCAAAUAUAGAAAACUAAUCUUUAUAUUCUAAAUUGAAAUAAACAAGUUAAAAAGACUUACCGAUAAUAUAAUUCUUCUGUUAGUUAUACACAGCUAGUUGAAAAAUGAUGAUUAGUGAAAGUAAUUAUAGUAUAGUUACCACAAUAAAAUAUUUUAAAGUAAAAUGACCAGAUUGAAAACAAGUAAGAAGUUUAAUGACCAUUUAGGCUGCUCUCUCCUUGUUCUACAUAUUCCGAAGAUAAUGAGAUUACUGUUAGCUCUAGUUUCAUUAAUAAUGAUGAUCUCAUGCAUGCAUAAAAAUCUCGACCAAUCAAAAUCUUUAACCCAAGUAAAAAGUAGUUACUGACCACACAUUAUAAAGACCCUGCAAUUGGAUUCCUCAUAUUCGGAAGAAAUAUUUAUUUUUGAGAAAUAAGACUCAUCAAACACACCCGGUGUCCCAGAAUUCACUGGUCUCUGAGUUUCUUCAGCUCUUCAAUCAGCACCAUCAAAUUCUUGUGUGAAGAACCACCUUCUUGUACAGCCUUCUUAGCCACAUCCCCAAGCUCUUCAAUUUUCCUCCUCAUCUCCUUCACCGUUUCAUCCUCACCGUCCAUCAACUUCCUCACAGCCUCUUCUAUCUUCUCCCUCCUAACAAUUUUCUUACCAGAAUCAACCCAUAAGUUCCACUCCUCUGCCCCAACUUCCACUCCAAUCCCAUACACCUGAGUCAACAGCUUCUCAUUAUAAAAAUGCUCAGCAUAUAAAGGCCAUGUCACCAUUGGAACUCCACAGCUCACAGCUUCAAUCACAGAGUUCCAUCCACAAUGACUCACAAAUCCGCCCACUGACGGAUGAUUUAAGAUGAGCACUUGCGGCGCCCAUCCUCUGACGAUCAUGCCCCUCUUGGUUUUAAUCACAUUCUGAUAAAAACCAGAGGGUGUCCAUUUAAUCAUGUCAUCAUCCUUCUCCUCAUCCUUUCCGAAAACCACCCAAAUAAAAUCUUUCCCGCAUGAUUCUAACCCGCAGGCUAUUUCCAUAAGCUGCAGGUCAGGAAACACACAGGCACUCCCGAAGCACACAUAAAUCACCGAAUUAAAAUUUUUCUCGUUAAGCCAAUUGAGACGGUCGUUGUCAGUGACGACUGUCUCAUGGCCUCUCUCCAUCUUGUUAUUGCUGUUCGAGUUUAAUAACGAUGUCGGGCCGACAUGGAAGAUUUUAAUCUUUCCUCCCGUAGCAUCUUUGUAGUAAUCAGUGUACACAGAGUCGAGCUCUGAAAAGUUGUUAACAAUGAUGCCGUAGCUCUUCAAUUCAGCCUCUCUCCACUGUUCCAUUAGCUGAGUGUACCCGUUUGGGGUUCGUAUAUAGUCCGGAAGCUGUGACCGUGUCAUUGUGAUCUUGUGUGGGAGAUUUGGGAUGACAAAAAGCUCGUAAUCUGAUUCAACACUGUGAUGUGGUGAAUCAGAUUUACGAACCUCGUGUUUGAGGGUCUGUGCAAACAUGCACACCCCUUGAAACACGAUCCUUGGAACGCUGAUUUUGGCAGCAAAAUCAGCGGUCCAAGGAAAAAACAUAUCAGAAACUAUAACAUCGGGAGGGUUAGAGAUCAUGAAACUUUCGAGGUCUGCUUGAAGAAGAGUCAUUGCAGCGUAAAGUUUAGAGGCAGUAGGAAUGUCUUUGGCAGAUAGAAAGUUUUCGAGGCCAUCAGGAAGGCCGACUUGUUUAGCAGGGAAGGGAAAUGUUUGGACGCGGAAAUUAGGCGAGUCAGUGGUUUUUUUCAGGAGAGAAGAAGCGUUGUGAGGAGUGGUGAGGAUGGUGACAUUUUGGGCGGCUGAGGAGAAGAGGUGGCCGAUUUCGGAGAGUGGGAUCAUGUGGCUGAAGGAGAGGAAGGGGAGCAUGUAAAUCUCCAGAGGACGAGAGGUGCUCAUUGUCAUAGUUUGGUGAGAUGUAU